rnacentral:rRNA from 2 species
AAACCACUAGUGAAUAAGGGGUGGGCAAGUUCUGGUGUCAGCCGCCGCGGUAAAACCAGCACCUCAAGUGGUCAGGAGGAUUAUUGGGCCUAAAGCAUCCGUAGCCGGCUCUGUAAGUUUUCGGUUAAAUCCAUGUGCUCAACGCAUGGGCUGCCGAAAAUACUGCAUAGCUAGGGAGUGGGAGAGGUAGACGGUACUCGGUAGGAAGGGGUAAAAUCCUUUGAUCUAUCGAUGACCACCUGUGGCGAAGGCGGUCUACCAGAACACGUUCGACGGUGAGGGAUGAAAGCUGGGGGAGCAAACCGGAUUAGAUACCCGGGUAGUCCCAGCUGUAAACGAUGCAGACUCGAUGAUGCAUUGGCAUAGAGCUAUUGCAGUAUCGCAGGGAAGCCGUUAAGUCUGCCGCCUGGGAAGUACGUACGCAAGUAUGAAACUUAAAGGAAUUGGCGGGGGAGCACCACAAGGGGUGAAGCCUGCGGUUCAAUUGGAGUCAACGCCGGG